CAUGGAGUUCCUGACUCAAUAGACUUGCCAACUGCUGGCUGGGACGAUGGUUGGUCAGCCAGAGAGACACAGUCAGGGAGGUCGGAGUCUUCAAUCAACCCUGCUGCCAGGUACUCAGGAAGUUCCUGACUCAAUAGACUUCCCAACUGCUGUGUGUCUCAUCCAUCACCUUAUUAAAGAUGGUCGGUCAGCCAGAGAGACAAAGGGCAGGGAGAUCUGGAGCCUUCAAUAAAUCCUGCAGUGAGCUGAUGAAAUGCUGGAGUAUUGAAAAUACCUAAGUAAAGAAAAACUCCAGUGACCACCGAAAUGCAACACGGGAUUCAUCCGGAAAAUUGGAUAUACUAGCAAGAACUCCCAGCGGCAUGGCCUCUGAUUUCACAAAUUGAUUUUAUAACCUGAGGACAUACCAAAUAAUUUAAUCACUUGAAUUAAGCGGGGCACAGAUGUCAAUGGAUCAUUUAAGAAAAGGAGGACAUCAACUGCAUAGAGAGUAAUUUUGUGCUGACCUGAUCCAACCUUCGGAGCCUUUAUAUUAAGGUCAGCUCAUACAGAUUCCACCAACGGCUCAAUCACUAGCGAAAAUAAUAAUGGUGAGAGAGGGCAUUCCUGACGACAAUCUCUGCCAACGCGAAAGCUAUGUGAACUUUAACUGUUGGUGAUCACCGUUGCUUUAGGAUCAUUAUAUAAUACUGUAACCUAUUAAGUAAAGACCUCUC